rnacentral:rRNA from 1 species
UACGUAGGGUGCAAGCGUUGUCCGGAAUUAUUGGGCGUAAAGAGCUCGUAGGCGGUCUGUCACGUCGGCUGUGAAAACCCGAGGCUCAACCUCGGGCCUGCAGUCGAUACGGGCAGACUAGAGUUCGGUAGGGGGAGACUGGAAUUCCUGGUGUAGCGGUGAAAUGCGCAGAUAUCAGGAGGAACACCGGUGGCGAAGGCGGGUCUCUGGGCAUGUCCUGACGCUGAGGAGCGAAAGUGUGGGGAGCGAACAGG